CACCAUUAAAACACAAAAAAGGAAAAAAAGCAAGUGGAAUACAAGUGUGAAAAAAUUAAAAAAUCGCGAGUGAAAAACGAAGAGUAUAACAACUGGAAAGGAAAUUUGGUGAAACAGAAAAAUCAUGGAUUCGAUUGUAGGUGCAGAUGGAAAUGCAUACAAGAUAAAGUUACAGAAGACUUAGCAGUUGAAACAUACACAAAGUUCAUAGAUUUCAACAC